rnacentral:misc_RNA from 1 species
UCGUUCGUGCCCGGUUAGCUC